GUUAUAUGGUCAAGCGAAUAAGCGCACACGGUGGAUGCCUAGGCGGUCAGAGGCGAUGAAGGACGUGGUAGCCUGCGAAAAGUGUCGGGGAGCUGGCAACAAGCUUUGAUCCGGCAAUAUCCGAAUGGGGAAACCCACUGCUUCGGCAGUAUCCUGCAGUGAAUUCAUAGCUGCUGGAAGCGAACCCGGUGAACUGAAAUAUCUAAGUAACCGGAGGAAAAGAAAUCAACCGAGAUUCCCUAAGUAGUGACGAGCGAACGGGGAGCAGCCCUUAAGCUGGAAUGGCUUUAGAAAAACAAUCUGGAAAGAUUGGCCAUAGAAGGUGAUAGCCCUGUAUUUAAAAGGGCCACUCCAGUGAAGACGAGUAGGGCGGGGCACGUGAAACCCUGUCUGAAUAUGGGGGGACCAUCCUCCAAGGCUAAAUACUCCUGACCGACCGAUAGUGAACCAGUACCGUGAGGGAAAGGUGAAAAGAACCCCGGAGAGGGGAGUGAAAUAGAUCCUGAAACCGUGUGCGUACAAGCAGUAGGAGCUCGCAAGAGUGACUGCGUACCUUUUGUAUAAUGGGUCAGCGACUUACUGUUCGUGGCAAGCUUAACCGUAUAGGGGAGGCGAAGGGAAACCGAGCCUGAUAAGGGCGCAUAGUCGCGGGCAGUAGACCCGAAACCGGGUGAUCUAGUCAUGGCCAGGGUGAAGGUGCCGUAACAGGUACUGGAGGCCCGAACCCACGUCUGUUGCAAAAGACGGGGAUGAGCUGUGAUUAGGAGUGAAAAGCUAAUCGAACCCGGAGAUAGCUGGUUCUCCUCGAAAGCUAUUUAGGUAGCGCCUCAUAUGUAUCCUCUCGGGGGUAGAGCACUGUUAUGGCUAGGGGGUCAUCGCGACUUACCAAACCAUUGCAAACUCCGAAUACCGAGACGGACUGUAUGGGAGACACACGGCGGGUGCUAACGUCCGUCGUGAAAAGGGAAACAACCCAGACCCACAGCUAAGGUCCCAAAUUCACUGCUAAGUGGAAAACGAUGUGGAAAGGCAUAGACAGCCAGGAGGUUGGCUUAGAAGCAGCCACCCUUUAAAGAAAGCGUAAUAGCUCACUGGUCGAGUCGGUCUGCGCGGAAGAUUUAACGGGGCUAAGCAGUGAACCGAAGCUUGGGGUGCAUAAAACUUGUUUUAUGCGCGGUAGAGGAGCGUUCCGUAAGCCUGCGAAGGUGGAUUGAGAAGUCUGCUGGAGGUAUCGGAAGUGCGAAUGCUGACAUGAGUAACGAUAAUGCGGGUGAAAAGCCCGCACGCCGAAAGCCCAAGGUUUCCUUGCGCAACGUUAAUCGACGCAGGGUUAGUCGGUCCCUAAGGCGAGGGCGAAAGCCGUAGUCGAUGGGAAGCAGGUUAAUAUUCCUGCACCUCGCGUGAGUGCGAUGGAGGGACGGAGAAGGUUAGGUGUACCGGGCGUUGGUUGUCCCGGGGAAAGGCGGUAGGUUUGGAUCUUUGGCAAAUCCGGGAUCCUUUAAGACCGAGCACCGAGACGAGCCUUUAUGGCGAAGUCACUGAUACCACGCUUCCAGGAAAAGCUCCUAAGCUUCAGCUCACGAAGACCGUACCGUAAACCGACACAGGUGGGUAGGAUGAGAAUUCUCAGGCGCUUGAGAGAACUCGGGUGAAGGAACUAGGCAACAUGGCACCGUAACUUCGGGAGAAGGUGCACCCUUUUUGGUGGCUCGUGCGAGCUAUAGCUGAAGAGGGUCGCAGAAACCAGGCCGCUGCGACUGUUUAUCAAAAACACAGCACUCUGCAAACACGAAAGUGGACGUAUAGGGUGUGACGCCUGCCCGGUGCUGGAAGGUUAAUUGAUGGGGUCAGCCGCAAGGCGAAGCUCUUGAUCGAAGCCCCAGUAAACGGCGGCCGUAACUAUAACGGUCCUAAGGUAGCGAAAUUCCUUGUCGGGUAAGUUCCGACCUGCACGAAUGGCGUAACGACAGCGGCGCUGUCUCCACCCGAGACUCAGUGAAAUUGAAAUCGCUGUGAAGAUGCAGCGUUCCCGUGGCAAGACGGAAAGACCCCGUGAACCUUUACUAUAGCUUUACACUGAACGUUGAGUUCGUCUGUGUAGGAUAGGUGGGAGGCUAUGAAACUGUGGCGCUAGCUGCAGUGGAGCCAUCCUUGAAAUACCACCCUGUCGUGCUUGACGUUCUAACCUAGGUCCGUUAUCCGGAUCAGGGACCGUGUAUGGUGGGUAGUUUGACUGGGGCGGUCUCCUCCUAAAGAGUAACGGAGGAGCACGAAGGUACGCUCAGCGCGGUCGGACAUCGCGCACUGUGUGCAAAGGCAUAAGCGUGCUUGACUGCAAGAUCGACGGAUCAAGCAGGUACGAAAGUAGGUCUUAGUGAUCCGGUGGUUCUGUAUGGAAGGGCCAUCGCUCAACGGAUAAAAGGUACUCCGGGGAUAACAGGCUGAUACCGCCCAAGAGUUCAUAUCGACGGCGGUGUUUGGCACCUCGAUGUCGGCUCAUCACAUCCUGGGGCUGUAGUCGGUCCCAAGGGUAUGGCUGUUCGCCAUUUAAAGUGGUACGCGAGCUGGGUUCAGAACGUCGUGAGACAGUUCGGUCCCUAUCUGCCAUGGGCGUUGGAAGUUUGAGAGGGGCUGCUCCUAGUACGAGAGGACCGGAGUGGACGAACCUCUGGUGUUCCGGUUGUCACGCCAGUGGCAUUGCCGGGUAGCUAUGUUCGGAAGCGAUAACCGCUGAAAGCAUCUAAGCGGGAAGCGCGCCUCAAGAUGAGACUUCCCGGGGCACAAGCCCCCUAAAGGAACCAUGUAGACUACGUGGUUGAUAGGUCAGGUGUGUAAGUACAGCAAUGUAUUGAGCUAACUGAUACUAAUGAUCCGUGCGGCUUGACCAUAUAACCUCA
rnacentral:rRNA from 1 species